rnacentral:rRNA from 1 species
UACGUAGGGUGCGAGCGUUAAUCGGAAUUACUGGGCGUAAAGCGUGCGUAGACGGUUGCGUAAGUCAGAUGUGAAAGCCCCGGGCUCAACCUGGGAAUUGCAUUUGAGACUGCGUAGCUAGGGUGCGGAAGAGGGAAGCGGAAUUUCCGGUGUAGCGGUGAAAUGCGUAGAUAUCGGAAGGAACACCAGUGGCGAAAGCGGCUUCCUGGUCCAGCACCGACGUCAGGCACGAAAGCGUGGGGAGCAAACAGG